rnacentral:rRNA from 1 species
UGGAAACUGUNUGACUUGAGUGCAGAAGGGGAGAGUGGAAUUCCAUGUGUAGCGGUGAAAUGCGUAGAUAUAUGGAGGAACACCAGUGGCGAAAGCGGCUCUCUGGUCUGUCACUGACGCUGAGGCUCGAAAGCGUGGGUAGCGAACAGGAUUAGAUACCCUGGUAGUCCACGCCGUAAACGAUGAGUGCUAGGUGUUAGGCCCUUUCCGGGGCUUAGUACCGGAGCUAACGCAAUAAGCACUCCGCCUGGGGAGUACGACCGCAAGGUUGAAACUCAAAGGAAUUGACGGGGGCCCGCACAAGCGGUGGAGCAUGUGGUUUAAUUCGAAGCAACGCGAAGAACCUUACCAGGUCUUGACAUCCCGAUGCUAUUCUUAGAGAUAGGAAGUUACUUCGGUACAUCGGAGACAGGUGGUGCAUGGUUGUCGUCAGCUCGUGUCGUGAGAUGUUGGGUUAAGUCCCGCAACGAGCGCAACCCUUAUUGUUAGUUGCCAUCAUUAAGUUGGGCACUCUAGCGAGACCGCCGGUAAUAAACCGGAGGAAGGUGGGGAUGACGUCAAAUCAUCAUGCCCCUUAUGACCUGGGCUACACACGUGCUACAAUGGUCGGUACAACGAGUUGCGAGCCGGUGACGGCAAGCUAAUCUCUGAAAGCCGAUCUCAGUUCGGAUUGGAGGCUGCAACUCGCCUCCAUGAAGUCGGAAUCGCUAGUAAUCGCGGAUCAGCACGCCGCGGUGAAUACGUUCCCGGGCCUUGUACACACCGCCCGUCACACCACGAGAGUUUGUAACACCCGAAGUCGGUGAGGUANCCUUUUAGGG